GACGAACGCUGGCGGCGUGCCUAAUACAUGCAAGUAGAACGCACAGUUUAUACCGUAGCUUGCUACACCAUAGACUGUGAGUUGCGAACGGGUGAGUAACGCGUAGGUAACCUGCCUGGUAGCGGGGGAUAACUAUUUGAAACGAUAGCUAAUACCGCAUAAUAUUGAUUAUUGCAUGAUAAUUAAUUUAAAGGUGCAAUUGCACCACUACCAGAUUGACCUGCGUUGUAUUAGCUAGUAGGUGAGGUAACGGCUCACCUAGGCGACGAUACAUAGCCGACCUGGGAGGGUGAUCGGCCACACUGGGACUGAGACACGGCCCAGACUCCUACGGGAGGCAGCAGUAGGGAAUCUUCGGCAAUGGACGAAAGUCUGACCGAGCAACGCCGCGUGAGUGAAGAAGGUUUUCGGAUCGUAAAGCUCUGUUGUAAGAGAAGAACGGGUGUGAGAGUGGAAAGUUCACACUGUGACGGUAUCUUACCAGAAAGAGACGGCUAACUACGUG
rnacentral:rRNA from 1 species